UCUACAUUUUCAGACACAAUUUGGAACGAACUGUGAACACCCCAAUUUAUUUUUCAAUAGGAAGUUAAAGCACAGCAUAAAUGUAAUGGUGAUAUGUGACCACAAAUGCGUAUUAGGGCUGUUAAUGGUACAUUUGGAGGUGCGUCGCACGAUUCUCACAUAUGGAAUUUAUCAAACGAACGUGAUUAUAUGAAAACGAACUACGAAAAUGGAGAUAACAAUACACGAAUCCUUGUGCGAAGUUUUGGCUGUUUAAAGUAAGAUAUGGAGUUUUUAUUUCAAGAGGAGAGUAUAGGCACUCAGGGUCAGCAAUCAGCUGGAAAAAAGGGAUGGAGGAAUUGCUGAAAAAAUAUUAAAAAAUCAAGAUAAAAUAUUAGAGAACCAGAGGGCAGGUAUCGACCGUUUGGAUGCUUUGGAUAAGCGGUAAAUAAUAUAGAAAGCUCCUGCAGAGAAAAUUACUUUCAGAAAAUCGAAGCCAGUGAGCGUGAUUCGUGAGUGCAAAGUCAUACUCCGAAGAAUACAAAGUUCCGUUUGAAAAAUUACCGGGGAGGAAGUAGAUCCACUUCAAACAAAAAUCGCGGCAACACUGCCUUUUCAGACGUUGGCUGCAGCUAAGGAGUUUGAAAUAAAUCUGCUGCAACAAGAUUAUAUCGAGGCAAGAAAACUUUUCUUUUACGGCUGUAGGGUCAAGACAGCACUGUUGACGAUUUGUUCCGUCAGCUUUUCAACGACGAUUUUCUAUCCCUUUGCAACUGGGAUGGCAGAGGUAACAAGCAGGCGCUGUCCCAGCUUUCUUGUGUGUCGGAAAUUUUGUAUGGUAAGUAAUUUGAAUAUGCCUAUAUUUCCACUGAUUCUUCAAUUUCGUGUCUGUAUAUCCUUACCAGAUGUUUUCCAGCUAAAUGGACGGGCUGCUUACGAAAAAAACAUUCGUAAGUCUGUUGACCUUAGUCAACAACCGAUUUAAGCAGCGAAACUACCGGCAGAGAAACACCUCAAAGGUGGGAAAUAUAAAUAUAAGUAAUACCUCAAUAUAAACAAUAAGUAUAUACUUGUUGUAAUAAGUAAAUAUAUACAUACAUAUGUAUAUCUAUGGACACAGAAAUGGCACAAAAAUGUUAAGAUAACUUACAGCCAUGGUUUCUGAAAAUAUAUUUUGUUAAUUUUAGGAAAAACUUAAAUGAAUUCUAUAACGAAAACCAUGUAAAAUAGUUUUAAAAUAGUCUUCGAACGUUUUUGAAAAUUCGAGAAAAUUUUC